ACCCCUCUUCCUGUCACCAGCACUUCCUCAGCAUCCACAGGUGACACCACCCCUCUUCCUGUCACCGACACUUCCUCAGCAUCCACAGGUCACGCCACCCCUCUUCCUGUCACCGACACUUCCUCAGCAUCCACAGGUCACGCCACCCCUCUUCCUGUCACCAGCCUUUCCUCAGUAUCCACAGGUCACGCCACCCCUCUUGCUGUCAGCAGUGCUACCUCAGCUUCCACAGUAUCCUCGGACUCCCCUCUGAAGAUGGAAAC
rnacentral:lncRNA from 1 species